UUCAACAAAAACAACAUGCGUCUAUCUUUUUUAAUGUUGUUGUUCUUCCUCAUCAUGUUUAUUUCACCUUCAUUCUCAUCUCCAACUUGUUCCACAAACAAUGAUACUCUCCUUUCUUCAAAAUUGCAAGCAGAAAAUCUCAUAAGAGGACUUAAUCUUUUUCCAAAACAUUCCAUGAACAUACCAAAGAAUGUUCCUCAUUUUGUUCAUGGAAAUAUUGUAGAGAAGAAGUUCACUUUCCCUGGUUUUGUUGACUCUGGUCCUUCUGUUGAAGAACUUGGUCAUCAUGCAGGAUAUUAUAGUCUUCCUCAUUCCAAAGCUGCAAGAAUGUUCUAUUUUUUCUUUGAAUCUCGAAACAAUAAAGAUGAUCCUGUUGUCAUAUGGUUAACUGGAGGUCCAGGAAGUGGCAGUGAAAUUGCUUUGUUUUAUGAAAAUGGUCCUUUUCAAUUUUCAAAAGAUAACAACUUGUCCCUUGUUUGGAAUCAAUAUGGAUGGGACGCGGCAUCAAAUAUUAUAUUUGUAGACCAACCCAUAGGAUCCGGUUUCAGCUAUACUACUGAUGAUAGUGAUAUUCGCUAUGACGAAGAUGGCAUUAGCAAUGAUUUGUAUGACUUCCUGCAGGCAUUCUUAAAGGAGCACCCUCAGUUCACUAAGAAUGAUUUUUAUAUAACUGGAGAAUCAUAUGCUGGACAUUACAUUCCAGCUUUUGCAUCCAGAGUUCACCAAGGAAACAAGGCAAAUGAAGGGAUUCAUAUAAAUCUUAAGGGAUUUGCUAUUGGGAAUGGUAAUACCAAUCCUGAAAUUCAAUGUAAGGCAUAUACAGAUUUUGCAUUAGACAAUGGACUAAUUAAUAAGAAUGAAUAUGAGGAUCUCAACAAGUUGAUCCCACCAUGUCAAAAGGCCAUAGAAGAUUGUGGCACUGAAGGUGGAGACGCAUGCAGGAUUUCAAGAAUUAAUUGUUUUAAAAUAUUCUAUCGGAUCAUGGACAUCGCCGGCGACAUUAAUCAGUACGACAUCAGAAAAAAAUGUGGGGGAGGUCUCUGUUAUGACUACUCCAAGAUGAUCACAUUCUUGAACAUGAAGACAGUAAGGGAAGCUUUAGGAGUUGGGGACUUGGAAUUUGUUUUUCUUAAUGACACAGUGUACAAUGCCAUGAUGGAUGAUGCGAUGAAAAAUCUAGAAGUUGGUAUUCCUGCUCUUCUAGAGGAUGGAAUCAAGUUGCUUGUGUAUGCUGGAGAAUAUGAUUUCAAUUGCAAUUGGCUUGGGAAUUUAAGGUGGGUUGAUGCCAUGCAGUGGUCAGGUCAAAAAGAAUUUAAUUCAUCUCCUGCAACCCCUUAUUUGGUUGAUAGUGAAGAAGCAGGAACUCUAAAAAGUCAUGGACCUCUGGCUUUCCUCAAGGUUUAUGUUUAACACUGACACUUCACAUCAAAGACAUAUCUCGUGUCUGACACCGGCACAUUAAUUACAUUUAAAUAUUUCAUUAUCUCUAAUUAUUACAAGUGAAAGAUGCUGGCCACAUGGUUCCUAUGGAUCAACCAAAAGCUGCACUUCAGAUGUUAAGAGAUUGGAUGCAAGGGAAACUAGUAAGGACAAGAGGAGGACAUAAUGUCUCGUCUAUAUGACAAUGAUGUUGUAUACAUAAUAAUGAUGUUUGAUUGUGUACAUUGGAAGGAUGAAUGAAAUAUAAUUGUUUUUCCCUAAUAUUGAAGGGGCUGGA